AUUAAAACUCAAAGGAAUAGACGGGGACCCGCACAAGCGGUGGAGCAUGUGGUUUAAUUCGAAGAUACGCGAAGAACCUUACCCGGACUUGAUAUCUAACAAAUCAUCCAGAGAUGGAAGAGUGUCUGCUUGCAGAAAUGUUAAGACAGGUGCUGCACGGCUGUCGUCAGCUCGUGUCGUGAGAUGUUGGGUUAAGUCCCGCAACGAGCGCAACCCACGUAUUUAGUUGCUAACAGUUAGGCUGAGUUCUCUAAAUAGACUGCCUUCGUAAGGAGGAGGAAGGUGUGGACGACGUCAAGUCAUCAUGGCCCUUAUGUCCGGGGCGACACACGUGCUACAAUGACAUAUACAAUGAGAUGCAAUAUCGCAAGAUGGAGCAAAUCUAUAAAAUAUGUCCCAGUUCGGAUUGGAGUCUGCAACUCGACUCCAUGAAGCCGGAAUCGCUAGUAAUCGUAGAUCAGCCAUGCUACGGUGAAUACGUUCCCGGGUCUUGUACUCACCGCCCGUCACACCAUGGGAGUUGAUUUCACUCGAAGCGGGGAUGCAAAAUUUGCUACCCUCCACAGUGGAAUCAGCGACUGGGGUGAAGUCGUAACAAGGUAGCCGUA
rnacentral:rRNA from 1 species